rnacentral:tRNA from 1 species
AUUUAUAUAGUAUAAUUUAUUACAAUUAAUUUCCAAUUAAAAAAUUUAAAUUUUUAAUAUAAAUA